rnacentral:lncRNA from 1 species
CCUCGGCAUCCUUAAAUGAAUCUCGCAGAAUAAGCUGCAGAGAGUGAAUUGCAUCCAUUUCUGCAUUUUCCCAUGGUAAGCUCCGGCUUUUAACAACUUCCAGAAAUGCCUUGAAGGAAGAACGUGGAUGCAUUCUCUGCCCGUGUUCCACUCAGAGCAACAAGUGUUCUCAUCUGACGCAAAUAUGGGUGGGAUCAGAGGAUUGGGACUGUGCACAAUGGCCUUGUAAUCACCUUGGAUGUGAAUAAACUUGUCCAUUACAACUUUUUGCCCAGUAACAUCCUGGCCAACAAAACAAACACCAACAAUGUUGUUUGUGUAAUCUUUGCUAGAGGUCAUCCUUGUCUUCAGGAUGAUGCUUUGCACCACCCCACUUUAUCUCUUUCGCUGUAUGGGAGCGAAACCAAAACAAGAAAUCUUUAGAAGUUAUAUAAGCAACAGCCAUACCACAAACUGCAUCACCAAGCGAAGCUGCCCC